GGGCGGUUAGUCUAGUAGUAUAAUACCUAACCUACGUAUAGUCGAUGAUUCGUAGUGCCCGUACCUACGCCUAAUAGAGAAUAGGCUAAUUCUCGUUUCUCGACUAAGUAGGCUAGUAGGAGGUCGUAGGUUCGAUUCCUAUACCGUCUA
rfam:Mycosphaerella eumusae strain CBS 114824 scaffold1143, whole genome shotgun sequence.